GGACCCGCACAAGCAGUGGAGCAUGUGGUUUAAUUCGAAGCAACGCGAAGAACCUUACCAGGUCUUGACAUCCCUCUGACCGGUCUAGAGAUAGGCCUUUCCUUCGGGACAGAGGAGACAGGUGGUGCAUGGUUGUCGUCAGCUCGUGUCGUGAGAUGUUGGGUUAAGUCCCGCAACGAGCGCAACCCUUGAAUCCAGUUGCCAGCACGUUGGGGUGGGCACUCUGGAUUGACUGCCGGUGACAAACCGGAGGAAGGUGGGGAUGACGUCAAAUCAUCAUGCCCCUUAUGACCUGGGCUACACACGUGCUACAAUGGCCGGUACAACGGGCUUGCGAAGCGGUGACGCGGAGCGAAUCCUUCAAAGCCGGUCUCAGUUCGGAUUGCAGGCUGCAACUCGCCUGCAUGAAGUCGGAAUUGCUAGUAAUCGCGGAUCAGCAUGCCGCGGUGAAUACGUUCCCGGGUCUU
rnacentral:rRNA from 1 species